UACGUAGGGUGCAAGCGUUGUCCGGAAUUAUUGGGCGUAAAGAGCUCGUAGGCGGUCUGUCGCGUCGGCUGUGAAAACUCGGGGCUCAACCCCCGAGCCUGCAGUCGAUACGGGCAGACUAGAGUCCGGCAGGGGAGACUGGAAUUCCUGGUGUAGCGGUGAAAUGCGCAGAUAUCAGGAGGAACACCGGUGGCGAAGGCGGGUCUCUGGGCCGGAACUGACGCUGAGGAGCGAAAGCGUGGGGAGCGAACAGG
rnacentral:rRNA from 1 species